CACUGGGAGGAACACCAUAACCCCAGCACUUCAUAGAGCUCACUGGGUCUCCCCAUCCCCCAACUGUACCUCCCGAUCCAUUGCACUGAUAAAACAAUGAGGAAGCCCCAAACCAAGAGACGCCUGCCCACUCCACUAGGACCUUAGAAAGCCCACCAGGCAGAAAAUGCCUGUCUUGCCUCACUGCAAUUAAGUCGAUGCCAGAAACCUGGUGGUCUUCUCAGCCCAUCACCGGCUCAUCUGCUUCUGGUCACAGUGUCCUGAGUUCCCUUGAGAAUCCACCUCUUGACUUCUCUUGGUACAGAUGGACUGGGGCCCCACAUGAGCGUCUUUGGGACACCCACUGCCGAUCUGGACCACAGCAAUAGGAGUUUUCCGAACACAGACCAGAAAACAGUCUGUAAGCAGGGAGCGCCAUCAAACAGGAGCAGAGAGCAUGCUGGGAGAACACAUACUCCAGUGGGAGGUUCUGGAUGGGUCCAGACUUCCAUCCCUGGAGAAUAGAACCCAGGGCCUAAGCAUCCACGAGAGAACAGAAGACGGCCAAGUCAAACACCAGUCUGCACAUUUACAAACAAAUAAAGUUCUCCGACCUUCCUGG